UGGGGAAUAUUGGACAAUGGGCGCAAGCCUGAUCCAGCCAUGCCGCGUGAGUGAUGAAGGCCCUAGGGUUGUAAAGCUCUUUCACCGGUGAAGAUAAUGACGGUAACCGGAGAAGAAGCCCCGGCUAACUUCGUGCAAGCAGCCGCGGUAAUACGAAGGGGGCUAGCGUUGUUCGGAUUUACUGGGCGUAAAGCGCACGUAGGCGGACUUUUAAGUCAGGGGUGAAAUCCCGGGGCUCAACCCCGGAACUGCCUUUGAUACUGGAAGUCUUGAGUAUGGUAGAGGUGAGUGGAAUUCCGGGUGUAGAGGUGAAAUUCGUAGAUAUUCGGAGGAACACCAGUGGCGAAGGCGGCUCACUGGACCAUUACUGACGCUGAGGUGCGAAAGCGUGGGGAGCAAACAGG
rnacentral:rRNA from 1 species